GUUUCGAUAACUCAAAUGGUUAGAGUGAAGGUCUGAAAAACCUUAUGUAGUGGUUCAAUUCCAUUUCGAGACA
rfam:Blastocystis hominis, Singapore isolate B (sub-type 7) whole genome shotgun sequence assembly, scaffold_32